GGAAGGGGGGGCCGGGCAGCCUCGGCGGGGACACCGGGCCCUUCCCCGGCGGGCGGCGGGCGGCGGGCGGCGGCAGGAGGGGGCGCUGCGGGGCUCGCGGGCGCGGCACAGAGGAAGUGCCGUCUUCGCCGCCGCGCCACGGGGUCGCCUCCGGCGCGGGCCGCGAUGUCGUCCCGGUCGGGGCGCGACGACGCGGGGGCCGGGGGCGCGCGGCGGCCGCGGGAGCCGCCCGAGCAGGAGCUGCAGCGGCGCCGGGAGCAGAAGCGGCGGCGGCACGACGCGCAGCAGCUGCAGCAGCUCAAGCACCUGGAGUCCUUUUAUGAAAAACCUCCUCCUGGGCUUAUCAAGGAAGAUGAGACUAAGCCAGAAGACUGUAUACCAGACGUACCAGGCAAUGAACACGCCAGGGAAUUUCUGGCUCACGCCCCAACUAAAGGACUUUGGAUGCCCCUGGGGAAAGAAGUCAAAGUCAUGCAGUGUUGGCGUUGUAAACGGCAUGGUCACCGAACAGGCGACAAAGAAUGCCCUUUUUUUAUCAAAGGCAACCAAAAGUUAGAACAGUUCAUAGUAGUAAGUAGAACCCCAUCGUGUCAAUUUACAUUCAUCAGAGAUGGUGAAUAUCAAUGAAUCAGGCACUAAUUCAGUGAACUGGAAGGUCACAUAAAAUCCAUGCCCGGAAGCCUGUCGGUUAGUGUCCAGCGUUAACUACGUCACUGUUGAAUCACACUGUGUGACAGGAUACAGCAGUUAAAACAGUUACUGGAGCAUUCCACUUCAGAUGAAGAUGAGAGCAGCUCUAGUUCCUCAGAAGGUAAAGAGAAAAACAAGAAAAAGAAGAAGAAAGAAAAGCAUAAGAAAAAGAAGAAAGAAAAGAAAAGAAAGAAAAAACGAAAGCAUAAGUCUUCCAAGUGAAAUGAGAGUUGAGAGUUGGACUAACAAGAACUUGACUUGUUCAACAUUCUGUUCUCAAAGAUCAGAGGAAUGCGGAACUGGAGAGGAACGAGAGAGAGAGAGAGAGAGAGAGAGAGAG